rnacentral:rRNA from 1 species
UUCGCAAUGCCCGAAAGGGUGACGAAGCGACGCCGCGUGAGCGAAGAAGGCCUUAGGGUUGUAAAGCUCUGUCGAGGGUUAUGAAAUGUAAACAGGUUAAUACCCUGUUUAUUUGACAAAAGCCCAAGAGGAAGUCACGGCUAACUCUGUGCCAGCAGCCGCGGUAAUACAGAGGUGGCAAGCGUUGUUCGGUAUUAUUGGGCGUAAAGAGCACGUAGGGGGUUUUAUAAGUCAGGUGUGGAAGCCUUCUGUUCAAAGGAAGAGCGGCAUCUGAAACUGUAGAUCUUGAGUGUAGGAGGGGAGAGUGGAACUUCUGGUGGAGCGGUGAAAUGCGUAGAUAUCAGAAGGAACGUCGGCGGCGAAAGCGACUCUCUGGCCUAUUACUGACACUGAGGUGCGAAAGUUAGGGGAGCAAACGGGAUUAGAUACCCCGGUAGUCCUAACCGUAAACGAUGGGCACUAAGUAGAGGGGUUUU